AAGACCUUGCACUUUUGGAGCGGCCGAUGUCUGAUUAGCUAGUUGGUGGGGUAAAGGCCUACCAAAGCUUCGAUCAGUAGCUGGUCUGAGAGGACGGCCAGCCACACUGGGACUGAGACACGGCCCAGACUCCUACGGGAGGCAACAGUGGGGAAUUUUGGACAAUGGGCGCAAGCCUGAUCCAGCCAUGCCGCGUGAGUGAAGAAGGCCUUCGGGUUGUAAGGCUCUUUCAGCCGGGAAGAAAAGGCUGCGACUAAUAAUCGCAGUUCAUGACGGUACCGGAAGAAGAAGCACCGGCUAACUACGUGCCAGCAGCCGCGGUAAUACGUAGGGUGCGAGCGUUAAUCGGAAUUACUGGGCGUAAAGGGUGCGCAAGCGGUUUUGUAAGUCAGAUGUGAAAUCCCCGGGCUUAACCUGGGAACU
rnacentral:rRNA from 1 species